rnacentral:rRNA from 1 species
UGUUCAUAAUAACUUCUCGAAUCGCAUGGCCUUGUGCGGAAGAUGCUUCAUUCAAAUAUCUGCCCUAUCAACUUUCGAUGGUAGGAUAGAGGCUACCAUGGUGUCAACGGGUAACGGGGAAUAAGGGUUCGAUUCCGGCAGAGGCAGCCUGAGAAACGGUACACAUCCAAGGAAGGCAGCAGGCGCGCAAUUACCCAAUCCCGACACGGGGAGGUAGUGACAAUAAAUAACCAAUAUAGGGCUCAUUUGGGUCUUAUAAUUGGAAUGAGUACAAUUUAAAUCCCUUAACGGAGGAACAAUUUGGAGGGCAACGUCUGGUGCCAGCAGCCGGGGUAAUUCCAGCUCCAAUAGCGUAUAUUACAGUUGUGCAGUUAACACAGCUCGUAGUUGAACUUCGAAACGUGGCUGGGCGGUCCGCUUCACGGUGUGUACUGUCUGGC